ACAGACUGCAGCGCUUUUCGCUACUCAGCUUUAUGAAGACAGGUUUACCUCACAGCGCUGUACAGCUGCAAGUGUAGCCAAGGCCAUAGACCCUGGAACAGGGCUCUGACCCAAGGCGGGUGAAUGACGUCCGAGUCCUUCACAGAGAAAUGUUUUCUCUUGUACUUUAGUUUACCACAGAAAGGGAAGUCCUUUGAUUUGGCCUGAGAGGUUAACUACCUAUUUUACCGGGAGAAGAAACGACAGGCAGCACCUCACCCACUGUCAGAGGAAUUUUAAGGGUAACUUGAUGAGGAAAGCCAACAAGGAGUGACAGAGACAGAUGCUGGGGAACCAUGAACGAAAGGAACAGAGGGAAUGAAAAGGCAUCAAGCUGUGGGGAUAGAGGGACAGCUGUGGCAGAAAGUUAGAGGCAUCCACAUCUUGGACACCCA